UGCGUAGGCGGCGCGGUAAGUCGGGUGUGAAAUCUCGGAGCUUAACUCCGAAACUGCAUUCGAUACUGCCGUGCUUGAGGACUGGAGAGGAGACUGGAAUUUACGGUGUAGCGGUGAAAUGCGUAGAUAUCGUAAGGAAGACCAGUGGCGAAGGCGGGUCUCUGGACAGUUCCUGACGCUGAGGCACGAAGGCCAGGAGCAACG
rnacentral:rRNA from 1 species